UACGUAGGGUGCAAGCGUUAAUCGGAAUUACUGGGCGUAAAGCGUGCGCAGGCGGUUAUGUAAGACCGGUGUGAAAUCCCCGGGCUUAACCUGGGAAUGGCAUUUGGGACUGCAAGGCUGGAGUGUGGCAGAGGAGACUGGAAUUCCUGGUGUAGCAGUGAAAUGCGUAGAUAUCAGGAGGAAUACCGAUGGCGAAGGCAGGUCUCUGGGCUGACACUGACGCUCAUGCACGAAAGCGUGGGGAGCAAACAGG
rnacentral:rRNA from 1 species